GCGACUGAUAAGAUGCGAGGGCUUCACCGCCUAUCAAGUCUUGCCAAACUCCGAAUGCUCGGCAGUAAGACGCCAGGAGUGAGGGGCAGGGUGCUAAGGUCCUGUCCCGAGAGGAGAAGAAUCCGGACCACCGGCUAAGGUCCCGAAAUAAUGGCCGAGUUAGUCAAACGAAGUAGGAUUGCCGUGACAGCUAGGAUGUUGGCUUGGAAGCAGCCAUCCAUUUAAAGAGUGCGUAACAGCUCACUAGUCGAGGAAUCCUGCGUGGAUAAUAAUCGGGUAUAAGCCAUUUACCGAAGCCGUGGGAACCGCAAGGUUCGGUAGGGGAGCAUUCCAUGUCCGCGGAAGGCGCGGCGCGAGCCGUACUGGAGGGGAUGGAAAAGCAAAUGUAGGUAUAAGUAACGAUAAAGGGGGCGUGAAACCCCCUCGCCGUAAGACCAAGGAUUCCUGAUCAACGCUAAUCGGAUCAGGGUAAGUCGGGGCCUAAGGCUCAGCCGAAGGGCGAGGCCGAUGGAUGAAACGUUUAAUAUUCCGUUACUGCCGCAUCCCGUGACGUGGUGACGGAGCAGUGAAAGUGCCGCCGUCUGACGGAAAAGACGGUUGAAGGGUGUAGAUGCCGACUGCCGCAGGCAAAUCCACGGCAGGAGUCGAACCUGAAAGUAUGGCGCGUCCUUCGGGACAAGCCAAUAGCGCACGUAACCAUACUCCCAAGAAAACCCGCUAAACAAAAAGGAUGUGGUACCCGUACCGUAAACGGACACACGUGGUCGGGUAGAAUAUACCAAGGCGCUUGAGUGAAUCACGGUUAAGGAACUAGGCAAAUUGUCCCUGUAACUUCGGGAAAAAGGGUCCUCAUUGUAAGAUGAGGCGCAGAGAAUAGGUCCAGGCAACUGUUUACCAAAAACACAGGGCUGUGCGAAUAUGAAAAUAGAAGUAUACAGCCUGACACCUGCCCGGUGCCGGAAGGUUAAGAGGAGAGGUCAUCGCAAGAGAAGCCUUGAAUUGAAGCCCCGGUAAACGGCGGCCGUAACUAUAACGGUCCUAAGGUAGCGAAAUUCCUUGUCGGGUAAGUUCCGACCUGCACGAAUGGUGUAAUGAUCUGGACACUGUCUCAACCGUGAGCUCAGUGAAAUUGUAGUAUCGGUGAAGAUGCCGAUUACCCGCGAUGGGACGAAAAGACCCCGUGAACCUUUACUAUAGCUUAGCAUUGGAGACGGGCACGUGAUGUGUAGGAUAGGUCGGAGGCUGUGAAGUGCGUACGCCAGUACGCGUGGAGCCGCUGUUGAAAUACGACCCUUCAUUUGUCUGUCUCCUAACCCGCGUGGCGCGGGGACAUUGCUUGGUGGGUAGUUUGACUGGGGUGGUCGCCUCCA
rnacentral:rRNA from 1 species